rnacentral:rRNA from 1 species
AUGUGAGUGCAAGCGAAUCCCAAAAAUAACGUCUCAGUUCGGAUUGUAGUCUGCAACUCGACUACAUGAAGCUGGAAUCGCUAGUAAUCGCGAAUCAGAAUGUCGCGGUGAAUACGUUCCCGGGUCUUGUACACACCGCCCGUCACACCAUGGGAGUCAGUAACGCCCGAAGCCGGUGACCUAACCGAAAGGGAGGAGCCGUCGAAGGUGGGACCGAUAACUGGGGUGAAGUCGUAACAAGGUAAC